GAUGAACGCUGGCGGCGUGCCUAAUACAUGCAAGUCGAGCGAACAGACGAGGAGCUUGCUCCUCUGACGUUAGCGGCGGACGGGUGAGUAACACGUGGAUAACCUACCUAUAAGACUGGGAUAACUUCGGGAAACCGGAGCUAAUACCGGAUAAUAUAUUGAACCGCAUGGUUCAAUAGUGAAAGACGGUUUUGCUGUCACUUAUAGAUGGAUCCGCGCGGCAUUAGCUAGUUGGUAAGGUAACGGCUUACCAAGGCAACGAUGCGUAGCCGACCUGAGAGGGGGAUCGGCCACACGGGAACUGAGACACGGUCCGACCUCCUACGGAGGGCAGCGGUGGGGAGUCUUCCGAAUGGGGGGAAAGCCGAACGGAGCAACGCCGGGUAGGUAAUAAAGGUCUUCGGUUCGUAAAACUCUGUUAUUGGGAAAGAAAUAAUGUGUAGGUAACUAUGCACGUCUUAACGGUACCUAAUCAGAAGGCCACGGCUAACUCCGU
rnacentral:rRNA from 1 species